GUGCUUGCUUCAGUUGCCCACAUACUAAAAUUAGAAUGAAAGAUUAGUAUGGCCCCUGUGCAAGGAUGACACACAAAUUCUUGAAGCAUUCCAUUCAUAU
ensembl:snRNA U6 U6 spliceosomal RNA